CUCUCACAUACAUACACACACCUACAAAUCCUGCUGGAAGCAGGGAGAAGGCUGGCUCAUUUAACAGAAGAAUUUUCCAUUGACAUUUGUAAAUUACACUAGAUUCAAGGCUCACCGCUGACUUACUGAGUGUGCAGUAAGGCAAUCAAAGGCUUUCACACUGCAACAAUGUCUGAGUUUAUUCUUGCCUUGGUGACAAUAUCAGGGUUAUUUCCCAUUGCUAAGGUGCUGGCUGCUGGAUCUGAAGGAGGUAAGGAGUCUUCAUUUACUGGCAUAACUUGGAAACUUAACGUUCAAGCAGAG